GAUCCAGAGAUGAAGGAGCUGCUCAUAAUUCAGCUGGAGAAUUUGAAUAAUUAUCAUCUUAACUACCAUCAGCCCGCAGUCUUUUUAAAUUGGUCCCAGAACCCAGACACCGUUUCACUUUCCUGUCUACGGACCGCUUGUGGAUUUGAUCAGGGUUCAAAUGCAUGAAGCCUCAAGUAAUAACCAGGCUUGUUUCAGCAGGGCACACUGCUGCACGAUGAGGCCUCUGGUAUUUCUGUGGCCUGACUGAAGUGAAUUGGACCCAGUGCUGGUACCCACCCUUGGUGUCGGCCAG